GGAUGGUGAAGUUCGCAAGCAAUUUCAACGUGCUCUUGAGAAGCAAAAGAUGAAAUUCAUGCUAAACACUAAGGUGGUGUCAGUUGAUGCUACAGGUGAUGGUGUGAAGUUGACCCUUGAACCUUCAGGUGGUGGUGAUCAAACUAUUCUCGAGGCUGAUGUUGUUCUCGUCUCUGCUGGAAGAGUACCAUUCACUUCAGGACUUGGAUUGGACACGAUAGGAGUAGAAACUGACAAGGCUGGUAGAAUCUUGGUCAAUGAACGUUUUGCC
rnacentral:misc_RNA from 1 species